CAUGUUGGAGAGGAUGUAGGAUGGCGAGGAGGCGGUGGUUGUGGGGGAGGAUUCCGGAGGAAGGAUGGAGAUGAUGAGUCCCGGGGAGUAUCUCUCCGGCAUGAAGCUGAUUGGCGAGUCCUCCAUAUUCGUUGUUGCCGUUUGGUCCCCUUCCUUCCUGACGUAUGCUCACGUGAUCGACAAUCCAGGCUCUGAUUGGACGCCAGUUACACGAGGUUUACAUAGUAUUGCCCGUUGCCCAGGAGAGGGCGCUGUUUGACAGUUACACACUAGAAUUUGGCAACUCCAUUUCUUUUGAUAUAAGAUCAUCUUUAUUCGUCCAGUGUUUUGGAAAUGUUUAGAACUAAAAUAAGCAUGACUAAUAAAUCAUCAAGUUGUA